GACGAACGCUGGCGGCGUGCUUAACACAUGCAAGUCGAACGGGCCUUGUCCCCUUUUUUUUGGGGGUGGGGUUAGUGGCGAACGGGUGAGUAACACGUGAGUAACCUGCCCCUCACUUCUGGAUAACCGCUUGAAAGGGUGGCUAAUACGGGGUGUUCUGGCCUGCUCGCAUGGGUGGGUUUGGAAAGAUUCGACCGGUUUUGGUUGUUUUGGUGGGGGAUGGGCUCGCGGCCUAUCAGCUUGUUGGUGGGGUGAUGGCCUGCCAAGGCUUUGACGGGUAGCCGGCCUGAGAGGGUGGGCGGUCACACUGGGACUGAGACACGGCCCAGACUCCUACGGGAGGCAGCAGUGGGGAAUAGUGCACAAUGGGCGCGAGCCUGAUGCAGCGACGCCGCGUGAGGGAUGGAGGCCUUCGGGUUGUGAACCUCUUUCGCCAGUGAAGAAGGUCCUGCUCUUUGUGGUGGGGUUGACGGUAGCUGGGUUAAUGAAGCGCCGGCUAACUACGUG
rnacentral:rRNA from 1 species